CCGGCACGGGUGAGUAACACGUAUCCAACCUGCCGUCUACUCUUGGCCAGCCUUCUGAAAGGAAGAUUAAUCCAGGAUGGCAUCAUGAGUUCACAUGUCCGCAUGAUUAAAGGUAUUUUCCGGUAGACGAUGGGGAUGCGUUCCAUUAGAUAGUAGGCGGGGUAACGGCCCACCUAGGCAACGAUCAGUAGGGGUUCUGAGAGGAAGGUCCCCCACAUUGGAACUGAGACACGGUCCAA
rnacentral:rRNA from 1 species